GAUGAACGCUGGCGGCGUGCCUAAUACAUGCAAGUCGAGCGAACAGACGAGGAGCUUGCUCCUCUGACGUUAGCGGCGGACGGGUGAGUAACACGUGGAUAACCUACCUAUAAGACUGGGAUAACUUCGGGAAACCGGAGCUAAUACCGGAUAAUAUAUUGAACCGCAUGGUUCAAUAGUGAAAGACGGUUUUGCUGUCACUUAUAGAUGGAUCCGCGCCGCAUUAGCUAGUUGGUAAGGUAACGGCUUACCAAGGCAACGAUGCGUAGCCGACCUGAGAGGGUGAUCGGCCACACUGGAACUGAGACACGGUCAAGACUCCUACGGGAGGCAGCAGUAGGGAAUCUUCCGCAAUGGGCGAAAGCCUGACGGAGCAACGCCGCGUGAGUGAUGAAGGUCUUCGGAUCGUAAAACUCUGUUAUUAGGGAAGAACAAAUGUGUAAGUAACUAUGCACGUCUUGACGGUACCUAAUCAGAAAGCCACGGCUAACUGCGUG
rnacentral:rRNA from 1 species